ACGCUCGACACCUACGGGAGGCCGCAGUGGGGAAUAUUGCACAAUGGGGGAAACCCGUGAUGCAGCAACGCCGCGUGAAGGAAGACGGUUUUCGGAUUGUAAACUUCUGUUCUUAGUGAAGAUAGUGACGGUAGCUAAGGAGCAAGCCACGGCUAACUACGUGCCAGCAGCCACGGUAAUCUGAGCGGGCUGGCAAGGC
rnacentral:rRNA from 1 species